GAUGAACGCUGACAGAAUGCUUAACACAUGCAAGUCGAUGGGGAAGUGGUGCUUGCACCAUGGUAACCAUGGCGGACGGGUGAGUAACGCGUAAGGAACUUACCUGCGGGACCGGGAUAACAGCAGGAAACUGCUGACAAGACCGGAUAAGGUCAUUAAGCUGCAUAGCUUAGUGAUGAAAGGAGACGCCUGCGGAGAGCCUUGCGUCCUAUUAGCUAGUUGGAGGGGUAACGGCCCACCAAGGCGAAGAUAGGUAGCCGGCCUGAGAGGGUGGACGGCCACAAGGGGACUGGGAUGCGGCACUGACUACUACGGGAGGCAGCAGUGGGGAAUAUUGGACAAUGGGGGCAACCCUGAUCCAGCAAUUCGGUGUGCACGAAGACGGUUUUCGGAUUGUAAAGUGCUUUCAGCAGGGAAGAAGGAAGUGACGGUACCUGCAGAAGAAGCGACGGCUAAAUACGUG
rnacentral:rRNA from 1 species